AACGAACGCUGGCGGCGUGCUUAACACAUGCAAGUCGAACGCGAAAGUUUCCUUCGGGAAACGAGUAGAGUGGCGCACGGGUGAGUAACACGUGGAUAAUCUACCCAAUGAUCUGGGAUAACAUCUCGAAAGGGGUGCUAAUACCGGAUAAGCCUACGAUUUCUUAGGAAUUUGUGGGAAAAGGUGGGGACCUUCGGGCCUACCGUCAUCGGAUGAGUCCGCGGCCCAUUAGCUAGUUGGUAGGGUAAUGGCCUACCAAGGCUACGAUGGGUAGCUGGUUUGAGAGAAUGAUCAGCCACACUGGAACUGAGACACGGUCCAGACUCCUACGGGGAGGCAGCAGUGGGGAAUCUUGCGCAAUGGGCGAAAGCCUGACGCAGCAACGCCGCGUGAGUGAUGAAGGUUUUCGGAUCGUAAAGCUCUGUCAGAGGGGAAGAAUGAUCAUGUGGUUAAUAUCCACAUGAAGUGACGGUA
rnacentral:rRNA from 1 species